ACCCUUGUGCAGCGGCAUUAUCAUAACCAAUGAAGUUCGUCUGAGGUGUGAUUAUUGCUUCUUGAAAACUUUACCCAAUACCCCGCCAAGCGGACGUGAAAUAUCGUCCACUAAGGCAAUUUUUGUAAGCCUGAAAGGGC
rnacentral:snRNA from 1 species